ACUAGAUCAAGCGAGCGUAACAACAGCAUCUUGUUCACAGGGGCCGACUGAAACGGCCGCAGCUCCACUCUUAGCCGACGCGCGUUCAAAGCGAUGCAUUCCCCAUCUUCUUCUCGCGCUAUCCAUAAUUAUUGCGCUUCCCCUUCUCCCUUCCGCUCCUCGUCUGCUUCCCUCGUAAGCAGUUCACUCUGCGCUCCUCCCAGAACCCUAGCCCUUAACUAUCGACGGAAAUAUCUAUCCGUUCGUGGCCACCGCUCCGAUUUCUCAGACCAGCGCCGCCAAAUUGGUCGCCCUCCUUCGCCGCCGCCUGAGGAACCUACCUCUUUCUCCCGGAAGCCUCCUGGAGCGCUGAAUUCGAAGGUCUUCGUCGGUUAUUCCAUUUACAAAGGGAAGGCGGCACUCACCGUGGAACCGCGAGCGCCUGAAUUCGCUCCUCUUGACUCAGGGGCUUAUAAGGUCUCUAAGGAAGGAUUUAUGCUCCUCCAAUUUGCUCCUGCUGUGGGAAAUCGGCAAUACGAUUGGAGCAGAAAGCAAGUGUUUUCUUUAUCCAUACCUGAAAUUGGUCAUCUAAUGAGUCUCGGAGCAAAGGAUUCUUGUGAAUUUUUUCAUGAUCCAUUCAAGGGAAGAAAUGAGGAAGGCAAGAUAAGAAAGGUUUUAAAGGUUGAACCUCUUCCAGAUGGCACCGGAUAUUUCUUUAAUCUCAGUAAUUUCCCCACAUUUUUAAUGUGUUCAAAAUCGCCUGUUGAAUAUGGAUGAUAGCAUAUACAUACCAAUCAGCAAACCAGAAUUCACCAUUCUUAACUCUGCUUUAAAUUUUAUCAUUCCAUAUCUUCUGGGUUGGCAUUCCUUUGCUAAUGCUAUAAAACCGGAGAAUUCCUUCCGUUUAAACAAUGCGAGAUUCGGAGCUGAUUUUGAGUGGGGUAGAUGAUGAGAAAUCUCAAAAGAGAAAAGCUCUGAGUUUGUGGAUGCGAAUUCUGGGAAUUGCCAUGCCGCUGCUGUUUUUCUUUUAUAGUUUUUCAUUCUUUUUUUUAAGUGUAUUUUGCUGUUUGAACCAAGUUUGUAGCAUAGAUCACUAUGGAUUUGGUUCUGUAGCAAGAGAUGCUAAAUCUAAAGCUGUGUUUUGUAUCACGCAAAUUGAUGAAAACUCAGGUGUAUUCGGGGGUUAUUUAUCAGCUUUUUUCAUGUGACUAAGAAAAGGAGUGCAUUUUUUGUUUUAAAGAAAAAAACGAACACUUAUGUAAAUUGUUGUCA